GUGAUUAUAGAGACUCCUCUAAUCAACGUUUCGCUGGGGAUAGCGUCAAGUCUGAUAGCAACUUUUUUUUAUUCAAAACAUUUUGGCAAGGAUGAUAUGUAUAAAGUAUGUUUCGCCUAUGCCCAGUCACGUUGAAGUCUGACGAAUAAUGGCGUAUAAUGAAAAGAUCGAAACAUGCGCUGGUACGUAUGACGUCUGAGUGAAAUCAAUUAUUUAAAAGGAGGAUGGAACAAUUUCGAUCAAUCGUAUACUGAACACAGUAGGAUUACAGAGACUCCUCUAAUCAACGUUUCGCUGGGGAUAGCAUCAAGUCUUGUAGCAACUUUUUUUUUCUAUUCAAAACAUUUUGUCAAGGAUGACAUGUGUGAAAUAUAUGUAUGUCUCGCCUAUCUCAGUAGUUCUGAAAAGAAUUGUUGUUGUUGAGAAUGUCUCAACGUUAAAAAAUAGUGAUAAUAACUUACAUU